rnacentral:piRNA from 1 species
UGUCAGUGUGUGAUAUGUGACCAACCUAUC